UGUUGUGGAAGAGGUUAGAGAAGACUGAACAUCGGUGGUAAUAGACAACUUGCAUUUAGUAAGAAAUAAAUAAUAAUGCUUUUCACAUUUAAUGAUUCUUGCCAGCAGCGAGGUUUGUGUAUGCCAACGAAUACUUCAUGCGUAUCCUUGAAAAUCGGAAUAGCGAAUGGUGAAUUUCAUGGUCCUAAUAUGACAGUAUUACGGUAUUUUGUUACCGUAGCAUUUCCAAUGCAGCCCGUUAGUUUCACCAAGGAUGAAUUUGAUAUGUUUUUCUAAUACCGUAAGAUAGGCAUAAUAACACAUGUUUCUAAAAUAUAUAUUUUACGUACUCACCAACUCACUGAAAAAAAAAUGCAAUAACCAAUACUAAAACAAGUUUUGUCUCUUAAAAGAGAUGGAACUUAUGGAUUGUACCGAAAGCCCAUGCUUUUGGGGAUUAAGGAUUGUUAUGAUCAGUGUGAAGGAACUGGAAACUCACAUCUUGGUUUGUCGAGUCUGAAAUCCGAUGAACAGAACUACGUAAUUUGGUUUCUGGAUUUACAGAUCAGGUUACGCGUUGAAAUGAUUAAUUCUGAGAAUCAUACCGAACCGUAGGUACUCCAAGCAGAUGUUCGUGGGAACAUUAUCAAGUUCCAAUGUGCUAAAUUUCCCCAUAGUGAAGUUGGAAGGGUUCCUCAGCGAUAUGGAGACUUGUACCGGAAACACUUUGCGGCCUAGGAUCCAACAAGCCAGACAUCAACAAAGAAAUUUUCAGGCAGUGUUGACUCCAGCGUUCAAAACAGCCGUGAAAGUGAGGUGGGCUGUGGGUAUGGAGCCUUCCCCCACCAUGAUUAGAGGUGGCACAUCAUACUUUUUUCAUCCUUGGCGCAGUUCAGUUUGUGGCGGAACUUGUGGAAACCUUCGACAAGCAAGCGGAUGAGGUGACGUUGAGCUAGGUGCAACCAGGAACUAUUAAAGCUUGUGUACUCAUUUAAAAUAUCUUUUCAUCCCAUGAAAUGGAAGAAAUACCGUAUGAGCUCAGAGAUCAUUCUUUGGGACUUAACUGUGGCAUUUGGGACUAUGCUUCUUCCAUCACGUGCAACUUUGGUGGGUAACCCAGUGCUUGCUGGCAACUGAUCCGUGUGUUGAACUGCCACAGUUUGAGUGCGCGUUCGUGAGCGGUCGCGUGUCGUGUGUCCAUUGUGCUUGGUUACGCUUGUGUUAGAAGAUUGUGUUGUUUUGAGUGUGUGAGUCUGUGUUUGUGAAGACUAUGCACAGAGACAGCUGACCGGUUUGUUUAGUGACUCCCAUUAACUCGACUGUAUAGUGUCGAAUGAUAAAAGAUGCGAAAGGAAGUGGUCGUGGAGGGAUUACAAAUUAUG